CCUACGGGAGGCUGCAGUGAGGAAUAUUGGUCAAUGGGAGAGAUCCUGAACCAGCCAAGCCGCGUGAGGGAAGACGGCCCUAUGGGUUGUAAACCUCUUUUGUCGGAGAACAAAACCCGGGACGUGUCCCGGACUGCGUGUAUCCGAAGAAAAAGCAUCGGCUAACUCCGUGCCAGCAGCCGCGGUAAUACGGAGGAUGCGAGCGUUAUCCGGAUUUAUUGGGUUUAAAGGGUGCGUAGGCGGUCCGUUAAGUCAGCGGGAAAAUUGCGGGGCUCAACCCCGUCGUGCAGUUGAGACUGGCAGACUUGAGUUGGCGAGAAGUACGCGGAAUGCGCGGUGUAGCGGUGAAAUGCAUAGAUAUCGCGCAGAACUCCGAUUGCGAAGGCAGCGUACCGGCGCCAGACUGACGCUGAGGCACGAAAGCGUGGGGAUCGAACAGGAUUAGAUACCCGAGUAGUC
rnacentral:rRNA from 1 species